rnacentral:rRNA from 1 species
CGGUAGCCGCGGGAACACGUAGGGUGCGAGCGUUAAUCGGAAUUACUGGGCGUAAAGCGUGCGCAGGCGGUUCGUUAAGACAGAUGUGAAAUCCCGAGGCUCAACCUCGGAACUGCCUUUGAUACUGGAGAUCUUGAGUUCGGAAGAGGUUGGUGGAACAGCUAGUGUAGAGGUGAAAUUCGUAGAUAUUAGCUAGAACACCAGUGGCGAAGGCGGCCAACUGGUCCGAUACUGACGCUGAGGUGCGAAAGCGUGGGGAGCAAACAGGAUUAGAUACCCGGGUAGUCCCUGUCUCUUAUAC